rnacentral:rRNA from 1 species
CUGUCGAGAUAGAACCCUUGCCUUUUUGAGUACCUUUCGUUUCCUCGGCGGCUUCGGCCGCCAAUGGGGACCCCAAAAAACACUUUGCAGUACCUGUAACAGUCUGAACAAACAAACAAAAAUUAAAACUUUCAACAACGGAUCUCUUGGUUCUGGCAUCGAUGAAGAACGCAGCGAAAUGCGAUAAGUAGUGUGAAUUGCAGAAUUCAGUGAAUCAUCGAAUCUUUGAACGCACAUUGCGCCCUUUGGUAUUCCUUAGGGCAUGCCUGUUCGAGCGUCAUUUAAACCUUCAAGCUCAGCUUGGUGUUGGGUGACUGUCCGCCGCCCUCGGGUGCGUGGACUCGCCUCAAAAUUAUUGGCGGCCGGUACAUUGGCUUCGAGCGCAGCAGAAACGCGAACUCGGGCCCGUCGUAUUGGCUCCCAGAAGCUAUCUUCACAAUUUUGACCUCGGAUCAGGUAGGGAUACCCGCCGAACUUAAGCAUAUCAAUA